UGACUGCGUACCUUUUGUAUAAUGGGUCAGCGACUUCGUCUCUCGAGCAAGCUUAAGCCGAUAGGUGUAGGCGUAGCGAAAGCGAGUCUUAAUAGGGCGACUGAGUUCGAGGGAUGAGACCCGAAGCCGGGUGAUCUAGCCAUGAGCAGGUUGAAGGUGCGGUAACACGCACUGGAGGACCGAACCCACGUCUGUUGAAAAAGACGGGGAUGACUUGUGGCUAGGGGUGAAAGGCCAAUCAAACCCGGAAAUAGCUGGUUCUCCGCGAAAUCUAUUUAGGUAGAGCGUCAUCCGAAUACCCCGGGGGGUAGAGCACUGGAUGGGUAAUGGGGCCCCACAGGCUUACUGAUCCUAACCAAACUCCGAAUACCCGGGAGUACUAGAUGGCAGACACACGGCGAAUGCUAACGUCCGUCGUGGAGAGGGAAAAAACCCUGACCAUCAGCUAAGGUCCUCAAGUCACGGCUAAGUGUGAAAGGAUGUGGAAAUCCCAAAACAACCAGGAGGUUGGCUUAGAAGCAGCCAUCCUUUAAAGAAAGCGUAACAGCUCACUGAUCAAGCGCCUCUGCGCGGAAAAUGUAUCGGGACUAAAGUUAUUCGCCGAAAUUGCGGACUCGAAAGAGUGGUAGCGGAGCGUUCCGUAAGCCUGUGAAGGUGAACCGUGAGGUUUGCUGGAGGUAUCGGAAGUGAGAAUGCUGACAUGAGUAGCGACAAACAGGGUGAGAGACCCUGUCGCCGAAAGACCAAGGGUUCCUGCGUAAAGCUAAUCUGCGCAGGGUUAGCCGGCCCCUAAGGCAAGGCCGAAAGGCGUAGUCGAUGGGAACCACGUUAAUAUUCGUGGGCCAAGGGAUGAGUGACGGAUUUCGAAAGUUGUAUUCCCUUAUUGGAUUGGGAAUGCAGCCUGGAAGUUCCUGGAAAUAGCCUCCCUAUUAGACCGUACCCGAAACCGACACAGGUGGUCAGGUAGAGAAUACUAAGGCGCUUGAGAGAACUCGGGUGAAGGAACUCGGCAAAAUUGUACCGUAACUUCGGGAGAAGGUACGCUGCUGUUUGUGAUGGGAUUUACUCCCUAAGCAGAUGGCAGCCGCAGUGACCAGGUGGCUGGGACUGUUUAUUAAAAACACAGCACUGUGCUAAAUCGAAAGAUGACGUAUACGGUGUGACACCUGCCCGGUGCCGGAAGGUUAAUUGAUGGGGUUAGCGUAAGCGAAGCUCUUGAUCGAAGCCCCGGUAAACGGCGGCCGUAACAAUAACGGUCCUAAGGUAGCGAAAUUCCUUGUCGGGUA
rnacentral:rRNA from 9 species